rnacentral:rRNA from 1 species
GACGAACGCUGGCGGCGUGCUUAACACAUGCAAGUCGAACGGAAAGGCCCCCACUUUUUUGGUGGGGGUGCUCGAGUGGCGAACGGGUGAGUAACACGUGGGUGAUCUGCCCUGCACUUCGGGAUAAGCUUGGGAAACUGGGUCUAAUACCGGAUAGGACCAUGGUUUAGUGUCUCAUGGUGGAAAAAUUAUUGUUUUGGUGCAGGAUGAGCUCGCGGCCUAUCAGCUUGUUGGUGGGGUAAUGGCCUACCAAGGCGUCGACGGGUAGCCGGCCUGAGAGGGUGGACGGCCACAUUGGGACUGAGAUACGGCCCAGACUCCUACGGGAGGCAGCAGUGGGGAAUAUUGCACAAUGGGCGCAAGCCUGAUGCAGCGACGCCGCGUGGGGGAUGACGGCCUUCGGGUUGUAAACUCCUUUCGUUAGGGACGAAGCCCAUACUUUUGGGUGUGGUGACGGUACCCUUG